CCUACGGGUGGCAGCAGUAGGGAAUAUUGCUCAAUGGGGGAAACCCUGAAGCAGCAACGCCGCGUGGAGGAUGAAGGUUUUCGGAUUGUAAACUCCUUUUGUUAGAGAAGAUAAUGACGGUAUCUAACGAAUAAGCACCGGCUAACUCCGUGACAGCAGCCGCGGUAAUACGGAGGGUGCAAGCGUUACUUGGAAUCAGUGGGCGGAAAGAGCACGUAGGCGGGAAAGCAAGUCAGAUGUGAAAGCCUAGGGCUUAACCAUAGAACUGCAUUUGAAACUGGUAUUCUAGAGUAUGGGAGAGGGAGGUAGAAUUCUUGGUGUAGGGGUAAAAUCCGUAGAGAUCAAGAGGAAUACUGAUUGCGAAGGCGACCUGCUGGAACAUUACUGACGCUGAUGCGCGAAAGCGUGGGGAGCAAACAGGAUUAGAUACCCUAGUAGUC
rnacentral:rRNA from 1 species